rnacentral:rRNA from 1 species
AGUAAAUAGAUACCCUGGUAGUCCACGCCGUAAACGAUGAGUACUAGGUGUAGGAGGUAUCGACUCCUUCUGUGCGCAGUUAAACACAAUAAGUACUCCGCCUGGGAAGUACGGUCGCAAGAUUAAAACUCAAAGGAAUUGACGGGGGCCCGCACAAGCAGCGGAGCAUGUGGUUUAAUUCGAAGCAACGCGAAGAACCUUACCUAGACUUGACAUCUCCUGAAUAGUGUAGAGAUACAUGAAGCCCUUCGGGGCAGGAAGACAGGUGGUGCAUGGUUGUCGUCAGCUCGUGUCGUGAGAUGUUGGGUUAAGUCCCGCAACGAGCGCAACCCUUACUUACUAGUUGCUACCAUUAAGUUGAGCACUCUAGUGAGACUGCCCGGGUUAACCGGGAGGAA